GGCUGAAAUUCGCCUUCCAUGAAGCCGGAAUUGCUAGUAAUGGCAGGUCAGCAUACUGCCGUGAAUACGUUCCCGGGCCUUGUACACACCGCCCGUCACACCAUGAGAGUUGGGAAUACCCGAAGCCUGUGAGCUAACAUUAAGAGGCAGCAGUCGAAGGUAGAAUCAAUGAUUGGGGUGAAGUCGUAACAAGGUAAC
rnacentral:rRNA from 1 species